rfam:Gossypium raimondii chromosome 7, whole genome shotgun sequence.
AAUCCAUGCAUCAGACAUUUUCGAAUUAAUUCUUUAAAUCGUUCCCAAGCUUCAUAUAGUAUUUCAUCCUCCAAUUAUCAAAAAGACGUGAUGUCAUUUCUCAGCUU